UGUUCUUCAUUUUUUUAUCACCAAAACUAGAAAAGAAAAUUAGGUUUGAAGCUUUGAAAUAUUCGGCCAUUGAAGACUUUGAUUAAGAUCAAGAAACCAAGAAAUCGGAUUUAGAUCGGGGGAAAUCGAAAGUAGUUGAGUAACCGAGCUAUUAGUCGACGACAUCCGAGAUUUUGGUGAUCGCUACGUGUUCGUGGAUCGUUUGUGAAGCUUGUCACAGUAUCGUCUAUAUUUUGGUACUUUACUAAGUUGUUUUCGAAUAAAUGGCAUGUAUAGCGUAGUGGAAAUGUUGAUUUUGGAACCAAUGUAUAUAGGUGUAAUUAAUAGCCAUGCAAAAAUGGCUUAUCUCUUUUGGUUUGAAUUUAGUAUUAAUGCAUAUGUUUUAAUCGUCUAAAAUGUAGUAUAUGUUCAUGUUAUUUUGAUGUAAAAAUGUUGCUCAAUUUGGUAUAUAUAUGCUGCCUAAAUUAUUGUA